rnacentral:tRNA from 1 species
AGGAAGGUGGUGAAAUGGUAACACACUGGGUCUUGGCCCCAGCACUUGUGGGUUCGAACCCCACCCUUCCUGCCA